GAAAACGCAGCGAAAUGCGAUACGUGGUGCGAAUUGCAGAAUCCCGUGAACCAUCGAGUUUUUGAACGCAAGUUGCGCCUGAGGCCAGCUGGCCGAGGGCACGUCCGCCUGGGCGUCAAGC
rnacentral:rRNA from 1 species